CCUACGGGUGGCAGCAGUGAGGAAUAUUGGUCAAUGGGCGGGAGCCUGAACCAGCCAAGCCGCGUGAAGGAAGAAGGCGCCAGGCGUCGUAAACUUCUUUUGUCGGGGAACAAAGGGCGCCACGCGUGGCGUUGUGAGUGUACCCGAAGAAAAAGCAUCGGCUAACUCCGUGCCAGCAGCCGCGGUAAUACGGAGGAUGCGAGCGUUAUCCGGAUUUAUUGGGUUUAAAGGGUGCGUAGGCGGUCCGGGAAAGUCAGCGGUAAAGGCCCGGGGCUCAACCCCGGCGAGCCGUUGAAACUGUCGGUCUAGAGACGGCGAGAAGUACGCGGAAUGCGCGGUGUAGCGGUGAAAUGCAUAGAUAUCGCGCAGAACUCCGAUUGCGAAGGCGAUUAACUGGACCGUAACUGACGCUGAGGCACGAAAGUGUGGGUAGCAAACAGGAUUAGAUACCCCUGUAGUC
rnacentral:rRNA from 1 species